CAGGACCCAUAUUUACUAAAGUUCGUAGACGUAAACGUAAACGUAGGAUUUACGCCUGACUUAAGAUUAGAGUUACGUACUCAUAAAAUGGUAUUCACAAAACCGUUCGUAGCCGCAAAAGUAACUUACAAUGUACGAUUGCACUUACGCGUGCGCAGUGGCUAUUUUCACUUCGAAGCGUAAAAAGUGUGAAUUUGCUCAUUUGCUUUGAAUUCCCUGCGCAUUAUGUCGAAAAAGAACACAGAACUUUGUGAGAAAGCAACGAAAUUCAACGUAUACGUAUGCCUGCCAACGGCAUGUCGAUCAACUGUACCGUUAUUCAGUGUUGUUUACAAAUCCAAAUGGAAGGUUCAUCAAAUUUAACACAUUUGACUUGUGGAUGGAUCUGCGAUGCUGUAGGUGUUCAAAAAGAAGUCGGCAUGGACUGACAAGGUCAUAAAGGUGGUCAAGAAAUAAAUUGCCAACAGACAGCAGCAUUCCUUGAUUUAGAUGCAUUUCUCUUCAUGUCCUCUCCUGAAAGAUUUUCCAUGAUGCCUCAGGGUUAGGAUUGGGAUGCAAGAUGUACAGUACAUAUAUAUGAUGUCUAUGGGUACAUUGCUGUAAUGGCCUGAAAAAUCUUUUGCGAAACCGAGAAAUGUUCAUCUUCCAUUGCCUUGAUUGUGUAAAAGGACGAGCAGAGGAAUGAUUCAAAAAUAUAUGGCAGGAUUGAGAAUCUAACCCAUGACCCGUAGUCUGGUACUCUACCCACUGAUCAAUCCAUGCUGAUGGUCCAUCUGCUACAAUGAUGUCAUCUUAUAUAAUAAUAUUUAUUUAUUCAUUUAUAUCAUAUGACAUUUAAAAAUUGACAGUAAAAUUAAAAAAAGUUUGAUAUUCAGCAAAAUAGAAUUUGUUACAAUACAUGUUUAAGAAAUUAAGUACAUGUACAUGCAUUGUUAUGCAUACAAUUAUGUACAUGUAAUUAUAUUUGUUAAUAGAUAAAUUUUUAGAUGAA